GACGAAGGGGGCUAGCGUUGUUCGGAAUUACUGGGCGUAAAGCGAGUGUAGGUGGUUGUCGUAGUCAGGCGUGAAAGCCUUGAGCUCAACUCAAGAAAUGCGCUUGAUACUGGGCAGCUAGAGGACCGGAGAGGAUAGUGGAAUUCCCAGUGUAGUGGUGAAAUACGUAGAUAUUGGGAGGAACACCAGUGGCGAAGGCGGCUCACUGGACCGGUACUGACGCUGAUGCGCGAAAGCGUGGGGAGCAAACGGG
rnacentral:rRNA from 1 species